UAAGAAACAUAUGGUUAUCAGAACGUUGUGUGCUAGCUGGGUAACCUAUAUUCUUGUAAAAUCGAGUGAUGUUGUUUAUAAUCCACCAGAAGGCCUUUAUUUAAUCCUAGCCAGAAUUUUAGCAUUUUCAAUAAAAAAUACUAGCUAUUUAAUGGAUGUGUCCUGGCAGAUAAUGGCUGGAAAAAAAUACUCAAUAGGCUAAUUCAGUUUCAGUAUAAUCUACUAGUAUUAUUUUCAUGUGAUAUAAUAGACGUUAUAAACUGUUAAAUUAGCAUACCUAAUUAGCCGGUUUCCAAUUUGGAAUCUGUCGUUAUAUUAUUCACAUCCACGCGCUUUCAGGACAGAAUUUCACAGGGCUUUCCUUACGGUAUUCAGAGCAUAAAAUAAGACAUUUCCCUUUUAAGACGAAACGAUGCCUCUGUUUGACAAGUCUUGGCUCCAAAAGAGUGUCCGCUUCGUGGGCGUAGGCGUGAACCUAUUCAAGUACAGUAACAGCAAUGGAAUUGGGUGAAAGGAUUGUUUGCUUCAGCUGUCAGAAAAGGGAGUAGGUGUACUACGUAGAUAAGCAAAGUUGUGGGAUGAUAUUAUGCAAAUUCUCUAGUUUUAGACCCUAGAGGGGAAAAUUAUGAAGACAGACUGUGUAAUUGUCAGGACUGUUUAAUUGUAAUUAAAUGAAGCCUGUUUCUUUGUUAUGCCUGUCCCCAGAUAUGGAGAGCUGUGAAAGCCUGUCUGUAGAUGAAGAGGUCCCAGUGAAUGUCCCAAGAGAUUGCUGGCACAUCCUUGUAUGCCAUGGGUUGUAUGUGUAUUUAUGUUAACAAAUGUUGUAUACAACAAUACAGUUAAAAGUCACACAGAAUGUAGGCUACAAACUUAUUACAACUGUAGCAGGCCAAUCCUUCUCCUGGAGGUAUGCUGGGUGUGCACGCUUUUGUUCAAGCCCAGCACUAACACCUGAUUCAAACCUAUUGAGUUGAGAAUGUGUAUUUUUGCUGGGCUGGAAUACUGCUCACCCAGUAUAUCAGGGAGUGGAGCAAGGUUGGCAACCUCUGGUAUGGCUUUUUUGUACACCUGAAAUUAGGCUUUAGUAAUAAUAUCCUACUUACUAAGAUGUCUAACAUUUACAAACACGUUUUGUACAAACUUGUACAUUUUUAAAUUCAAUGUUGAUUCAUUGAAGUGUUUAAACUGGUUUUAAUUGUUAACUUAAAACAUUCAAGUUGUGGCAAUGUUCAUUCAUGACAGAACACAAUUCUGCAAUAAAAAGGUGUGAAGAGGAUCUGUCUCUAAUUUGUCUGUUUCUGUGUUGCUUUCGUGAAGUAACAUUACCUUUUUGUCCAGUUGUGAGCUCUCCAAUCGGUUUUAUUUGAUUGUCACUCUCAGGAUAUCAGCCAUGUGAACCCAUUUUGCAGCUUAUCAUAAUGGCAUGCAUCACCAAUGCAGCCAUAGGCCUAACGUUUGAUGGCAUUACUGGCCUAAUGGGCAUGUCCAUCAACGUGCCCCUUGUCAUUGUACAUCUAAUGCAGCUCUACGGACAAUUUCUUUGACCUCGUGGCUUGGUUUUUGCUCUGACAUGCCUUGUUAACUGUGGGACCUUAUAUAGACAGGUGUGUGUGCCUUUCCAAAUCAUGUCCAAUCAAUUGACUUUACCACAGGUGGACUCCAAUCAAGUUGUAGAACCAUCCCAAGGAUGAUCAAUGAAAACAGGAUGCACCUGAGCUCAAUUUUGAUUCUCAUAGCAAAGGGUCUGAAUACUUAUGUAGAUAAGGUAUUUCUGUU
rnacentral:lncRNA from 1 species